UACGUAGGGUGCAAGCGUUGUCCGGAAUUAUUGGGCGUAAAGAGCUCGUAGGCGGUUUGUCGCGUCUGCUGUGAAAACUCGGGGCUUAACCCCGGGCCUGCAGUGGGUACGGGCAGACUAGAGUGCGGUAGGGGAGACUGGAAUUCCUGGUGUAGCGGUGAAAUGCGCAGAUAUCAGGAGGAACACCGGUGGCGAAGGCGGGUCUCUGGGCCGUAACUGACGCUGAGGAGCGAAAGCGUGGGGAGCGAAUGGG
rnacentral:rRNA from 1 species